rnacentral:lncRNA from 1 species
CCAGAGUUCAGCGGCGAGUAAGCGGAGCCUGACCGGUUAGCUCGGCAUCGGAUUGAGACGAACCGGGUCGAGCAAGCUAACCGAGAUCCAAUCACAUCGCAACCGGAACUAAAUCCGCUGCAGUUAACGGAGGAGGAAGUCUGAGGAGGUGCCACUAAGAUGGAACUGGACAAAAGUGGGAGGAGCGUGAGGUGGCGCGUGCCAGAGAUAGGCAAAGACAAGGCCAUUGUAGUAGGUAGGCGACUGAGGAAGCGAAACGAAGGUACUAGAGGUUUUAGUGUGGAUAGGGUUUUUGGUAGAUUUAUUCAUUUUUGCUUUCUUUAUAUUAUGGAAAAUUAUAUAUGGGCUUCUCAUAAACUUGGCUUGAAGCCCACAAAAUCUAGACCUUCGCAAAUUAUCCGGAUAUCAAGUCCCCCAAACCAGAAGAUCUUGGAACUGUGAAGUUUCCUCUUUCAGCCCACUGCUAACAUGACAGACGUUGUCUCUCCUUUUGAACACACGCGACAGACAUGGAAGAGAGUCGUUAUGUAAUAUGUAUGCUAGGCCUGGGCGUACGGGUCUUCGGAUCGGAUUCGAGCCGGUUCUUUUCGGGUCUUAAAUAUUUAGACCCAAUAGGUAUUUAGAAAUUUCCGGUUCGGGUUCGGGUCGGUUCUUCUCGGGUUCGGGUCGGUUCGGGUUCGGGUCGGUUCGGGUUUGGGUUGGUUCGAGUCUAUAAUUAAAACACCCGUAAUUUUUCGGAUCCAUAUCGGGUCCGGGUCGGGGUCGGUAUUUAAGAUCUGAAAAAGACAUGAUAUACCCAAUUUCAUUAACUUUAGUUGAAUAUUUGUCAUAUAUAUCUAAAAUUUUACAAAACAACUUAAAUGAAACUAUUAAUAACUAAAAUAAAACAUUUUAAAAACUCUAAAUUUUACAUUUUAAAGCUUUAUAUUACUUUAAAAAUGUUAAAAAAUAAUAACAAAUGUUGUUAACAAAAGAUAUUUCAACUAAAUCAUAAUAUAAUAUAUAUAUAAAAUAAACACAAAACAUCAUAGUUUUAGAUAUACAUGUUUUUAAGUCGGGUACAAAUCGGUUCUUAUCGGGUCGGGUCUAUUAUCUAAGGAGAAGAUAACAGUCAAGUUCGGAAGAUAAAUGUCAAGUUUCAAAGGAUAAACACCAAUAUCGAAAAUGGCGAACAUACACGAGAAGAGGAAGGAGAAAAAAGCAAGCAAAACUGAGAAGAGACAAAACUGCAUCUCCGAGAACACUAAGGUAUGUCCGACUUUUUUCAAGAUCAAACUUGGAAUUUUCGUAGGAAGGUACUAAGCAAUAAAACGCUUUUGAGACUGCCAUAGAAUUUUAAGGAACUUAAAACUUAGGUGGAUAGUCUAGUGAACUGUGUCAUAGGCAAUUUUUCCUUUUGCUUUUUAAUUGCUCUGGCAGAUCUUGCUAACUGAUCUAAACUCUCGCAAAAACGAGAAACGAUUGCCACGCAUACUUAGCUCCCUUCCCAAAAAAACAAAAAAAAAAAAAAAAAAAAUUCAAAAACAGUUUCAACAAAAAGGAGACAUACCGUUCCUGAAUCAAAAUAAUCAUAUAAUCAACAGUAAAUGUGUUUUCUUAGGGGGACUUGAUUUAGGCGUGACGGCGCAGUUAAUUGUAACAAAAAUCUAUGUAUAUAUACAUAUGUAUCUAUACAUUUUUCUUAUACCCUUAGCAUUAAACUAAAGUCAAUGGUCUUAGGGUACAAGAAGAUGACACUAUGCAAUGGAACUUAAAACAUAUAUACACAUUUUUUUACAGACAUUAUUGCAGAGAAUCAAACAUACAGAGACAAGUCCUACCCUAACAAUACUCGCAAGAGAACCAUACGAGAGCAUGAUUAUUGGGAGGUUCUUAGGGUGAAGUUUUUAGCGGAAUAUAAGAACCCGUCUCUUAACUUUUAACUAAAAAAACUAAGAGCCGUCUCUUAAAACUCUUAUUUAAGAAGAGCUUCUUAGUUUUUUUAGUUAAAAGUUAAGAGUCAGGUUCUUAUAUUCCGCUAAGAACUCCAUCUUAAGAACCCUCCAAUAAUCAUGCUCCGAGGGAGGAGAGGAAUUUACGUGCGACAACUGGCUGAAGACGAACGGGAAAGGAAGGAAAGGAGAUACGGUUGCUGACGUCACUAGAGGGACUAUGCGAGAUUCUUAAGCCACUGAGCUGUGACGUGACAAAUCGGAGCUCCUUUGACUUAGCGACGAGCUUUGCCGAUGAGGUCAUUCGCAGCCAAGCGCCAUGCGUAGCCAUUGUCGUCAUUUUCUGGAUAAUGAAGGAGAUUGGGCUCUUCUUCUUUUCAUUUAUUUUGUCGAAAAGCCUUCUUCGUCGUCCAGAAGGUUAUAACAUGUUUAGUGGGGUUCUUAGGAUGAUGUUUUUAUCGGAAUAUAAAAACGCGUGUCUUAACUUUUAACAAAAAAAAGCUAAGAACCGGUUCUUAAAAAUUAAGAGACGGAUUUUUAUAUUUCGCUAAAAACCCCAAUAAUCAUGCUCUUGCAUUCCCUAAACCGUCAGUUUUAUUUGAUAACCAGAUAGCGUUUAUUUGAAGGAUAGUAAGUUCGGUUAUCGGCCAAUCUCAGUUCCAAGAGCAAGCCGGUUAAAUCAAAAUCAAAAUCAAAACCGGGACCUUAAGCAACCAAAACAAAAUGUAUGGUUUCAACUUCAUUUUUUAAAUUCUUGAAUGCACAAAUGUAAGGAGACACAAUUUACAUUAUUAUAUAAAAAAAGUUGCAUGCAAUCAAAACUUGGCAUUUCAACAAUAUCCAAAGUUGGUCGAUUCACUGCAAAGUACUUCCCACGGUAGCAACACCAUCAUCUUCCUCAUCAUCAUCACUAUCAUACUAGCUUGCCUUUGCUUCCAUACGGUGUAGGUAUAUAUCCUCUUCAAGCCGCACUUCAACGUGUGUUUUCUCUGCGGCGAGAAUAGCGAGUUCUGUCAUUGUAUCUCGGUCUAUCUUGAGCUCUCUGGGGCUGCGGCUCAACUCUCCUCUGCCUCUCUGGUGAUCGUUGGACUAUCUCUCCAUUCACAAACAGCUCAGCUGUAAAGUCAACAACAGAGCCAUUAAGAAGAUAUUAAUCAGUAACUACUAGAUAACUUGAGUAAGAAUUGAGAUCUAAUCGAGAAAUACAUAUAAAAAAAAAGAAGCUGAUGUAUCUCUCGCAAUUGAUAUAAUCCAUUAAGACUCACUACUUUGCUAAGAUGGAUUAAGUGAAGCAUGAAGCAAAACAAGGGUUGCAAAUAUAUGUUCCAUCUCAACCAGGCUGCAGUUAGAUUAUAAUACAACCAAUCUGCAAAAAAUCGGCUAAGAUAAAGUACUUGAUGUCAGUCCAUUAGCAUUCAAAGCUAAUCAUAGCUCAAAGACUCAUUAGCUUCGCCAAGAUGGACUGAUAAUCAAAAACUGUUUUCAUGUUUCGAGAGGAAGAAAAAAAAAAAGCACUCGAGAGUUACAUGCUAUAUAUGUUCUCUCCUAAACCAGCUUGCAGUUAGAUAAUAUUAAUAACUAUCUGCAAAUAUUAGCUUAGAAGAGAAAAAUAGUUUUGGUGUCAGUCCAUUAGCAUUCAAAGCUAAUCAUAGCCAAAAAGACUCAUUAGCUUUGCCAAGAUGGACUAAUCAAAACAUUGCUUUCAUGUUUCAAAGAGUUGCAAAGUAAAUGGCACAUGUAAAGAUUUAAUUUUGAGAACUAAAACCAUACCAAAACCAAACACAUUGAACAAGAGGUGGAACAAUUAUUAGUUUAUUACCUCCGUAAUCUUUGUUUUCAGGAUCCACAUAGGAAUCAGGAAGCACAAACAGAACACCAGGCAAACCUGUUGAAAUUGUAAACAAAGAAAGAAACACUUAAAGGACACUCUUUUAUUAACACUAGCGAACACAAGAGAGAGUGAAGUGCAAGUAAAGACAAGACCUUCAAGCUUAGUAGAAGUCUCUUCAUCAAUCUCACACCCAAACCCUAAAUACCUCUCGCAAGAAACAUUGUAGAUUCGCUUCUUCGCCUCUUCCUCACUACACAAAACCAAAACAAAACAGAGUAAACACACAGCGACUCAAACACAUCAGCUAAGGUUUACCUUCCAACGACUUUGGCUAAGGUUUGGAUGUAGCAAUCAAUCAUCUCCUGCUUCGUCGCGCCUUCGCCUCCAGGCUUAUCCAUAACAAUCAGCCAGUGCUCGUAAUCGCACCCCGGAAACAGAGGCGCCAUCUCCGUCGGAGGCCGAUCGCUGAAGUUCGAGCCAGAGUUCAGCGGCGAGUAAGCGGAGCCUGACCGGUUAGCUCGGCAUCGGAUUGAGACGAACCGGGUCGAGCAAGCUAACCGAGAUCCAAUCACAUCGCAACCGGAACUAAAUCCGCUGCAGUUAACGGAGGAGGAAGUCUGAGGAGGUGCCACUAAGAUGGAACUGGACAAAAGUGGGAGGAGCGUGAGGUGGCGCGUGCCAGAGAUAGGCAAAGACAAGGCCAUUGUAGUAGGUAGGCGACUGAGGAAGCGAAACGAAGGUACUAGAGGUUUUAGUGUGGAUAGGGUUU